rnacentral:rRNA from 1 species
AGAGUUUGAUCAUGGCUCAGAGCGAACGCUGGCGGCACGCCUAACACAUGCAAGUCGAACGGAGCUGUACUUUCGGGUACAGACUUAGUGGCAGACGGGUGCGUAACACG